rnacentral:rRNA from 1 species
GACGAGCGCUGGCGGCGUGCUUAACACAUGCAAGUCGAACGGUGAAGCUCCAGCUUGCUGGAGUGGAUCAGUGGCGAACGGGUGAGUAACACGUGAGCAACCUGCCCCUGACUCUGGAAUAAGCGCUGGAAACGGCGUCUAAUACUGGAUACGAGAAGGGUCCGCAUGGGCACUUUCUGGAAAGUUUUUCGGCUGGGGAUGGGCUCGCGGCCUAUCAGCUUGUUGGUGAGGUAAUGGCUCACCAAGGCGACGACGGGUAGCCGGCCUGAGAGGGCGACCGGCCACACUGGGACUGAGACACGGCCCAGACUCCUACGGGAGGCAGCAGUGGGGAAUAUUGCACAAUGGGCGAAAGCCUGAUGCAGCGACGCCGCGUGAGGGGUGACGGCCUUCGGGUUGUAAACCUCUUUCAGCAGGGAAGAAGCGAAAGUGACGGUACCUGCAGAAGAAGCACCGGCUAACUACGUG